CGGCCGCCGGCCCCGCGCGCCCCGCAGCUCCGCGCGCCCCGCAGCGCCCCCUCCCCGCGUCCCGCCCCGGGCGCCCGGGCUCGCUCCGGGCCGGGGCGCCCCCGCGCCGGGAGCUCGGGGGGGCUGACGUGUGACCCCGCCCGCCCUGCCGGAGGCGGGCCUGGCGCUGGGGGCCGCCCCGUCCCGGGGGAGCCGGCGCGGCGCGGGGAGCGCGCGCCCAGGGAGCGCUGGAAGGUGGGGAGCCGGAGGGGCGGUCCGUCCUGACGUUGGCGCUGGGAUGACCGGCUGCAGUGUUACUAGAAGUUGCUCCGUGGGUGUCCACUGUGGGCCUGGCCCCGAGCCCGAGUGUGCACUGAGCUCCAGGUUGAGCCUGCCCUUGGCCCUGGAAGCCGCCACACCUCGGCCCCCCAAGCCCAGGUCCCCCAGGCUGCCGGCGCCAGGGCCGCUUUCUCUCCAGGAAAGCUGCCCAGUCCGCCAGCCGUGUGUGCCUUUAGCUGUGGCCCUUGCUUCUCAGUCUGCCCUUGCUCCCUCACCCCAGACUAAGAAAUCAGGAACCCCAGGAGGCUGAGGAUAGGCCAGUGACCCUCCCAGGGAAGCCGGGCAGGCAGGAGUCAACAAGGCAGCAUGGCUCAGUCACUCAGGAACCGGUCUCUGAGCACCUGGGAGUGCGGGCCCUGGGCCUGGCCUGCGGGGCUGGGGUUCUGUGCUUGGGGGGCUGCAUGGCUGGCCUUGUGCGCAGACCUGCAGCCUGGUUCUAACAGGAGCAGAUGCAUGCUAAAGGGACAUCCCCGAUGGCCUGUUUGCGAAGGGGAGGGGAGCUGGUCUUCUGAACCACCCCUCAGGUAAGUCAGGUUCUGUUUCUGCUCUCAGGCCACCUGCUCAUGUCUCAGACACCCCUGCUCACAGCCUGUGUGCUGAAGGUGCUCCUCGGGGUCCCAGGGCGGGUGUGCUCAGAGCCUGGCUGGUGACAGAGGCAGAUGGAAAGAAGACCCAGUGACCAUCGGUCUGUAUGUCCCCGUUGGCCUCCUUGGCCUCCACCCAGAUGCCUCUGGGGGAGCUGGGGUUCCUUUCCUGUCUAGUAAGUUCCAGAGGUUUGACAGGAUGAAAGCCAGAGGCUUUUUGUCCCAGGGGAUAAGAAGGGGGGCAUUUCUGAAUUUGCCAGUCUGGGGGAUUUGGGGGCCAAGCGUCAAGAAACCCAUUAAAUCACUGUUGUGAUGCUUCCGUGAGUUGCUUUAAUAAACCAUAUAUUUUCGGGGCGCCUGGGUGGCUCAGUCGUUAAGCAUCUGCCUUCGGCUCAGGUCAUGAUCCCGGGGUCCUGGGAUCAAGCCCCGCAUCAGGCUCCUGCUCAGUGGGAGGCCUGCUUCUCCCUCUCCCACUCCCCCUGCUUGUGUUCCCUCUCUCGCUGUGUCUCUGUCAAAUAAAUAAAUAAAAUCUUAAAAAAAAAAAAAAACCCAUAUAUUUUCAUUGUGAGAGUAAUACUUGUUCAUUACAAAGAGUUUGAGAAAAGGUAUCUAAUUAAUAACCUAACUCUGCAGAGAUAUGGACUGUAACUAUUUUGGCAUGCUUCGUGACAGUUUUUAAACAGUACUGUGAUGAACAUCUUUGAUGAAAUGGUAGUCCUGCCCCCUGCCCCUUAUCCACAGGGGAUACGUUCCCAGACGCCCAGUGGCCACCUGAAACCACGGAUAGUGCCGAUCCCUCCACCGACUACGUUCUCUCCUACACAGUUAAUGAUGCUCUCAUAAACUCAAAUGAAAGAAGGCACCCCCAACUCCAGGAAGUUUGACAGUCCCCGGAGGCCCUGGGGGACGGCACCCCCCCCACCCCGUGAUGCUGCAUCCCUGCCUCCGCGAAAUGUGAAAUGCACUGGCCCCACUUUGAGGAGCUGGCCUGAGGUCACGCUCACACAGCUCAUACAGGGGCAUCUCUACCCAGACUGCUUUUGGCUCAUCAAUGCGAAGGACCCUCAAGGACCACCAGCAGGGCCCGUGACGUGGUGUCCAACACGAGAGCGCAACGGAAGCCUCCUGAGAUGACACUGUUCCGAGGGUCCCGUGCGUCCAAAGUGGGAAACGAGGACGUGGCACCUCACAUUUAUUCCGGAGGAAGCAGGGUAUUUUCCAAUUCAAGAUCUGAGGGUAAAAUGAUUUUCUCGCUCUGAUUCUUGGCAGAAGAUGGGGUGGGUGGAACCCCUUA